rnacentral:rRNA from 1 species
GCAAGUCGAGCGAGAACGGUCUUCGGACUUAUUAAAGCGGCGGACGGGUGAGUAACGCGUGGGAAUCUACCAAGUAGUGGGGGACAACAGUUGGAAACGACUGCUAAUACCGCAUACGCCCUACGGGGGAAAGUGGGGGAUCUUCGGACCUCAUGCUAUUUGAUGAGCCCGCGUAAGAUUAGCUUGUUGGUGAGGUAAUGGCUCACCAAGGCGACGAUCUUUAGCUGGUCUGAGAGGAUGAUC